UUCCAGAGGUUGGAUAUUUAUCCAGCUUCUGAGACUUCCUGUUAUAAAACAACACUUUGAUGAACAUCUUGGUACAUAAAUCUUUUGCAUGUGACUACUUCCUUAGGACAGAUUCCUAGAAGUGAAAUUCUGGGUCAAAGAGUAGUAAUAUUUUAAAGGCUGUUUAUGCAUACUGACAAGCUGCUUCCUGGCAAUUUGUCCAAACUUUUACUCUGACUAGCAUUGUAUGGGAGCUUCCCUGAGUGAAUGCUGCCUUUGAAGUGGGGUCAGAGACUGAGGACCAAGGGGCACAGAGAAAGAAGAGUGUGGUCCUCGAUGGGAGGACCCAUCACAAACCGUCUUGCACAGUGUAAACCCUGGAGAGGGGCUGAAGAAACCACUGCAGCCCGGGGCCGCCCAUUCUACCUGGCCCAUGGUAGGCACUCAAGAAAUGGUUUGCUACGUGAAUAAACAAAUCCACAAACAUAUAUUUCUGAAUUCCUAUCAUGCGUCAAACACAAGAGAUAGGGAGAGAGGAGGAAAAGAAAAGCAAGGGAUCAUGGGAUAAAAGGGGACAGUGGCAGUGGGGUGGACAGAAGUCAGAACUAAAUUUACCUCAUGCUUUAAUUCGGCGAGUUUUCUUAGAAUAGUCUGACCAUUGCUUACGUUGAGGGUCUAUAGUCCUCCCUUCCCCACAAGACAAAGUCCAACCUAAUUCAGCACCAAGAUCCAAGCAGCUUGGAAGAUACAGGAGGGAAAAUUCUGGUGUAGAUUAAGUGCCACCCCCCAGCAAUGGCCAGGACACAGCAGCAAUGUUACCUAAGAAAGCAACUGCGCCUCUUGCUGAUCAGCUAGACAUGAGGGCAGUGUCCUACCUCAGCGGUUUGCAGCGGACAUGCUGUCAGGCCAUUGGGAUAGUUCCCAUAAGCCACUCCUGGUUGUCACCACUAUUCCAAGUGGGCAGGAGCAGCCUUAUUGACUGAGAUGGGCGGCUAUGGACACACAUGGGUGUACGCAUGUGAUGGAAAUGGGGGCUUGGGGCCCUGAGGGUCCACAGGGGCUGCGUGGUCAGGGAGGGUGGGCAUGGCAUCACAGGCACCCCAGGGGAGAAGCUGGCUUUCUUCCCAUACUUUUGGCACUGUUUUCUGUUUUGUUUGCCUUCAAAGAGCAAGUGAUGGCUGGACAGCAAAGAGGAGUGGAGGCCGGGAGAAUGGGCAGCUAGCCCAGCGCUCUCCAAUAUCUGGGAGUCGACCGCACUCCUGCACUCCCUGUCAUCCCUGCUAAUGGUGAGGAACUGAGCAAAAGAGCCUCCAGAGUGACAGGUAUUACCAUUGCUCCAAUCUUACAGAUGAGGAAACUCAGGCAUGGAGAGGUUGAGCGACUUGCCCAAAUUCAUGCAGUUAGGACCUGGCAGAGCUGCGCUUUGAACCCAGGCUGCCUGGCUCUAGAGUGUGUGCACGAAACUUCACUGCCAUAUGAACAAAACUGCAGGACAUAUGUUCUCAAAGCAAAUAAGCCUCCCAGAGAGGCUUUUCCUGAUGGCUUCAAGGACCUGCCCUAGCCUGGUCUGACUUCCCAGAGGGGAUCCAGUCCCAACAUUGGCCCUAUCUUUAGACCACAUUUCCAUCCCAUUCUCAGUGAAAACCCUGAGUCAUGACAGAAGACAACCAAUGCUGGAGAGAGGAGGUUUCAGGAUCUGAGGGGCACCCGCAGCAGUGCAGACGGACCGCUCCAUUCCGUCAGAGGCCACACUUAUUUCACCAGUUCCAUCCUGAUGUUUUCCAGACUUCUACAUAACAGAUGAUUCACCAGUGUGUCCCCCCAUGGAUGCCUCUGCUCACAUAGAAAGGGUUAAUUCUUGGAAGCUGAGGUGCUGUCAAAGGGCAUCUGACAGAUCAGCCGCCCUCUGCUCCAGGGGUGUGGUCUUCCUCUCCGACCCAUGAUGCGUGGCAGCCUGGCUGCCCACACCCUCAGAUCCCUGAGCAGCAGUGUCUCGCUGUGGUUUUAUCAGCAGUCUUUUUAAAUUAAUUUUUUUUUUUCUGUCACUUGCCUGGAUGGAAUCAGCAGUCUUUUUAUUAUGAGGGAGAUCAAGCACCUUUUCAUGUUAAAUCCCUCCUCCUUUUUUUAUCCUUUUCCUGUGAGCUACCUGUUUUUCUCUUUUAUCAGGCCUGGAUAUUUUGGGGCAAUGCUGGGCUGUCCUAGUACUCCCUGCCUGUUCCAGUUGAUCCAGGCUCCUUAAAGCUCCAACAGUGUGGAUUCUGUGAGCAUCAUGAAAGCCCAAGGGUGGUGGUCUCUCCAGGUGUCAGAGAGCCAAUGGUGAGUGAGAGAACCCCCCGGCCAGGGCAGCAGAGAAGCCUCAUGCCCACCAGUGCCAAUAGCCUGGCAUGGGAGCAGCCCUCUUUGUACAGGAAAAUGGGCCACAUUUGUCUUUAACAUUUGCUUCUUGUCCAAAGCAUUUUAGAGUGUGAUGGACAUGAAAUGAUGGAGACAGUGUGUAUCUACUUCCCUUGAAAGCUCCUCCAGCGAAUCCAGAGCCAGCAUCUUCCUGUAGCAUCUGCCCCUCCCUCCCUUUCAGGCCUGUGGUAACAUCUCCUCCUGCAGAACCUGGGCCCUGCUAUCCUGCUAUCAAAGGGUGGAGAGCCUGAUGGUCUGUGAAAUUCCCAGGGAAGGUUCAGGUAUCAGAAAUGCACUGAAGAACCACCUGAGCUCACUCUGUUAAUGGCGAUAUUUCACGUGAUUUAUCUGGAAGGGUUGGUAACUGAUAUGGUAACAAAUCUCAUCUUGAAUUCCCACAUGUUGUGGGAGGGAUCUGGUGGGAAGUAACUGAAUCAUGGGGGCAGGUCUUUUCUGUGCUGUUCUCUUGAUAGUGAAUAAGUCUAACGAGAUCUGAUGGUUUUAAAAAGAGGAGUUCCCCUGCACAAGCUCUCUCUCCCUGUCUGUCUGCUGCCAUCCAUGUAAGAUGUGGCUUGCUCCUCCUUGCCUUCUGCCAUGAUUGUGAGGCUUCCCCAGCCACUUGGAACUGUAAGUCCAAUUAAACCUCUUUCUUUUGUAAAUUCCCCAGUCUCGGGUAUGUCUUUAUCAGCAGCGUGAAAACGGACUAAUACAGAAACUUAGCCUGGAGGUCCUGAUUAACAGCUAACGCCUCCACCCUUACACAUAGCUUCUGUUUUGUAGUAAGUGCUCAAAUGACUGUUGAAAGAAGAAAUCACGAACAACUGUCUGACUGCCCUCUCUUUUGUCUAGAGGUAGUACAGUUCAAAUUGGUUCGGUGGUACUGUGUUUACAAAGUCCACUUUCUGACAGCUCCAACCAGCUUUCUUGCAAAUUUCAAAAGCCUCUUUCUUUGGGCCUGGGAACUAGGUUGGCCAAAUAAAAUACAGGAGACCCAGUUAAAUUUGAAUUUCAGGUGAACAACAAGUAAUAUUUUUGGUGUGUGUCACAAACAUUGCAUGGGACAUACUUACUGUUUUUGAUUCCUGUGGCUGCUGUAGGAAAUGACCAUAAACUUGGUGGCUUAAAACAACAGAUAUUCAUUCCCUCACACUUCUGAAGGCCAAAGUCCAAAAUCAGGAUCACUAGGUUGAAGCUAAGGUGUCAGCAGGGCCACACUCCCUCUGGAGCUCCAAGAGAGAAUUGGUUCCUGGACUUUUCUGGCUGCUGGUAGCUGCCAGCAGUCCUUGGCUUGUGGCCACCUCACUCCAAUCUCUGCCUCCAUCACCACAUUGUCUUCUCUUCUGUGUUUUCCAUCUCUCUCUUCCUUCCUCUUACAAGGAUGAGUGUGACUGCAUUUAGGACCUACCUAGAUAAUACAGGAUAAUCCCCCCAUCUCAAAAUCCUUAAUUUAACCACAUCUACAAAGACCCCUUUUCCAAAUAAGAUCACAUUUACAGGUUCUGGAGAUUAGGACCUGAUAUCUUUGAGGGACAUUAUGCAGCCUAUGCCAAUUAUUUGUUGUUAUCUGAAAUUCUAAUUUUCACAGAUGCCCUGUGUUUUAAUUUGCUAAUUCUGACAGCCCUACCUGGGACCACACCUUAUUAGGAGACAGCAAGGAUUUAAGUGAUUUUCCUUCAACUGGCACCACCCUUCCUUGUGUGGUGGGGAGAGGCCCAGUCCACAGACCCAGCCCUGUUCAUCAAGAUCUUUUAUCUUUGAAGUGGGGCUUAUAGUUUACAGUGGCAUUCCAGUUUUCAGGAGAAUCUAAGGCAUUUGGCUUAACUUUUGAACAGAUCAUGGCAAACAGUACAUGUAUUCCCACUUUUAGCAUUCAAAACUCCAAAUACAGACCUGUUCCCCUCCACCCUCCAGGAAGGUGGAAAGAUGAACAAAUAAAUAUAUAAGUUAUGUAUCUGUUCCCCUUUCUGUUCUCAAGUCUCUUUAAGAAAGCCUUUUUUUUUGUUGUUUGUUUGUUUUUUUGAGAGCAGGUCUCGUUCUGACGCCCAGGCUGCAGUGCAGUGGUGCCAUCAUGGCUCGCUGCAGCCUCAAUUUCCUGGGCUCAAGUGAUCCUCCUGCCUCAGCCUCCUGAGUAGCUGGGACUACAAGCGCACACCGCCAUGCCCAGCUAAUUUUUAAAAAAUUUUUUGUAGAGACAGGGUCUCCCUAUGUUGCCCAGGCUGGUCUCGGACUCCUGGCCUCAAGUGAUCCUCCCAUCUUGGCCUCCUAAAGUGCUGGGAUUCCAGGCGUGAGCCACUGCACCUGGCCCUGUUUUUGUCAUUUGAGACAGGUUCUCGCUAUAUCGCCCAGGCUAGUUUCAAACUCCUGGGCUCAAGAGAUCCUCCUGCCUCAGAUUCCCCAGCAGCUGGGACUACAGGCGCAGCCACUCACCAGUGUGGCCUUAGGGUUUUUGUAGUCAAUAUUGAACUCACCCACUCAUCCAUUUAUUCACUCGUGAAUCAAUUACUGAGUGCUUAUUCUGUGCCAUGCGCUAUGCCCGGCACAGAAGACACAAAGAUGAAUAAAGCAUCUCCCUGCGAUGGGCGAGUGAGGGAGGCUGGAUCCCUGGGGAAGCCCAAAGAGUGGAAUUAGACAACAUUGUGGAAAUUAAACACAAAUAACGGGCACUAGUGAUGUGAAGGCAGCAUGAUUCCAUUUGAUGUGAAACUAGAAGGAUAGAAACUCAUUUACCAAUUAUCUUUAAAUUCUAACAACUAUUUUUAGCCUUUAGAUGUGGAAAAAAUAACUUGUAUUACAGGAUGUGUUACCUAACUGUCUGCUUUAACAUGAUGGUGGUUUUCCUCCUUCUGUCUUCUAGAUCCCUGGAAAUGUGGGUGCAUAUGAGGCUCCCUCUGCCUCCUCCCACAGCCAUAUGAGCUGCCGCCUCCUAGGAGAACCUGGCAGGGCUGGCAGCACCCCCAGCUCCCCAGUUCAGCCCAGAAGGGGGCUGCCUGGACUCCAAGAUUUCUCCCUUCACCCGCGGCUGCCUCCUGCCCCCAUGACUACAGUGUGGUGAGCACUUUUUGGUACAAAUUAUGCCUCACUGCAAAUACAUCUUAGUUUUUUUUUUUUUUUUUUUUAAGGAAAAAGCCAUCUGUUGAUUUAUUUAUCAUAUGGCACAAAUUCUCAAGCUGAAAUUCCAGGUCUCUGCCCAUGAAAAACAAAACAAAAGCAAAAACACUUUUUUUUUGUCUUUGGGGGAGAAAAGCAGUGAGGCACUGGCAGUUUAAUAAAGGGUAGGACCCCUAGGCUAAAGCAGUGAAUGGGAAAGCUAGGGGGAAGACCAUGCCCCAGGGAGCAGAAGCCCAGGCAUAAGAAGCACAAAUCCUGGGUUCGAAUCCCCUACCGGCCUCAAAUUAGCCACGGGACUCCAGGUGCCACUUGACUUCCCUGAAUCCCUCUGAACCUCCCUGAAUCUCAACGUCCUAAUCUGUAGAAGAGGGGAAGGAAUUUUUCACUCACAGGCUCAUGUUAAGAAUCAAAUGAGAUCAUAUAAACUGUAAAGUACUAUCCACUUGUUAGUAAUUUGGGGAGUGGGGGGACCUCCCAGCACCCUGAAAUCACAUCGUGUGGGCUACCCAAGUGUGAGGACACCCCGUGCCUGUGUGUUUCCAGUGCCCCCAUAUCACUCUCCUGUCUCAAACACCUAGAGGUUGACAUCCAAAUAACAAUAUUAAAGUGACUCAGAUUUAUUAUUUUUUUGAAAUGGAGUCUCACUCACUCUGUCGCCCAGGCUGGAGUGCAGUGGCGCGAUCUCAGCUCACUGCAACCACUGCCUCCCAGGUUCAAGUGAUUCUCGUGCCUCAGCCUCCCAAAUAGCUGAGAUUACACGUAGUGCUCCACCAGGCAUGGCUUUUUUUUUUUUUUUUUUUUUUUUGAGACAGAGUCUUGCUCUGUCAACCAGGCUGGAGUGCAGUGGCACCAUCUCAGCUCACUGCAACCACCUCCUGGAUUCAAGCGAUUCUCUCCUGUCUCAGCCUCCCUAGUAGCCAGGAUUAUAGGCACAUGCCAUCAUGCUUGGCUAAUUUUUAUGUUUUUAGUAGACACGGGGUUUCACCCUGUUGGCCAGGCUGGUCUCAAACUCCUGACCUCAGGUGACCACCUGCCUCAGCCUCCCAAACUGUUGGGAUUACAGGCAUGAGCCACCACACCCAGCCUAAUUAUUUGUAUUUUUAGUAGAGACAGGGUUUUGCUAUGUUGCCCAGGCUGGUCUUGAACUUCUGGCUUCAAAUGAUCUGCCCACCUCAGCCUCCCAAAGUGCUGGGAUUAUAGGAGUGAGCCAUCACGCCCAGCUGACUUCGAUUUGUUAUUGGGACUGACCUUCUAAUUAGUCCAGAUUGGAUCAAUAUUUGUGUAUCCAGAAAGCCAGGUAGUCCCAAGUGUUCUCUGCACAUUGUGGGCCCAGUAGGAGGCAGGGCUUAUCCCACUGGAAGGUGGCAGUCUUAGGAGCCUUAGUAGUGGAGUCCCCGUGACAUGGGGUCCAGGUGUCGAUCUCUCUGUUGCCAUUGGGCAGCCCAGGGCACACUGGUUGCAUCUGUCCCCCGGGCACAGGGUGUUCGUGGUCUAAGGCUAUGACCAGUGUGCCCUGGGCUGCCCAAUGGCGACAGAGAGAUGCCCUCUGCCCAGCUCCUAAUUUUGCACUCAGGGCUGUGUGCCAAGGUGCCCGCACUCUGCAGCUCCCGCUGGGAUCCAUGGGGGCCUAUGCAGGCCAUGCUCGGGGCCAGGACUGAUGAUACUGUCUCCAGGUGGCUCCACCCUUCAGUUUUGGAUGCUUCUAAAACUUUUCUUGAAGAAUGACUCAGUACUCACCCUUAAUACAAUUUAUAGGCUGAAAUGAUCCCUCUGCCUGCUCCACCUGCUCCAAACCCUGAUAAAACAGAAACUAGGGUGGGAUAUCACAUAUGGUAUCUUCACUUUGUAGCUGGUGGAUUUUCUUAAAUGUGGAGGAGAACGUGGGAGGCAAGACCAGAACUGAGAAAUGACUCUUGCUUUUAGUUAGAGGGAGGGUGGCUGUGGGAAGUGUAUUUCAACGCCAUGAAAGUACCCUGUGAGGUUGCAAAUUCUAAGUAAUUCGAUAUGCAUAACCCCAGCCUCAGCUGUGUGAGCUCCUCCCUUCUCUGUUCCCCAUCACUCCCCCUUUUCCUGGUCCCAGAGUGUGAACCACAUUGGUGUAGACAUGGGGAAAGUAAAGUGGAUUUUUGAGGAAGGGGGAUCAGGUAGUGUAGCCCAACAGACUAGAAAAUACAGACUCAGUCUCCUCACCUCCCCUCUCACUGUGACCCUUUUUCUUAACAGUAGAGGGCUGACUUUGUCUGCCUUGCUCAGGGAAACCGCCCCACUUUUAAUUAAAUUUCUCCCUGUAGAUGCUGUCUGGGAAGCUGAAUGUCAUCUUCCCUGGGCUUACCUGCCAGGCUCCUCUCAUCCACAUCUUCCAGCCUCUAGCCACAUGGACCCCUCCGGAAAGCAUGUGUGUGUGGGGGGUAUGUGUGAACAUUUUUCAUGCUUGAUGUGAGCCGGAAGAAAAAUGAGCUUCUCUAUUUGAUAAGUGUGGACCUGCCCACAGCACUAAAUUUGGUUCUGCCGUCACCGGCGCCAUGAAGCAGCAGCCUGGUUUAGAGGCUUGCCUUUGGUUUCAAAUAAUUUCUCCAGGCUCAUGUUACAUAUGACCCAUUCACAGAGGCUGGAGGGCAUGGCUUCUCCAGUCCUUAGCACUAAAGACGUGUCUUUUGGCUCCUGCACGACUAGCACAGGCAGUAGAACCAGAUGGGGGAUGCUCUGAGGUUGCAGAGGCAGGAAGGCAAGCGGGAGAGAGCUUGGGCCUGGACAGAGGGAUGAGCUGGCUCCCUCCCCAGCUGUGAAAUCUCUGAGUCUCAGUUUGCUUCUCUGCAAAAUGAGGAUAAUAAUCCCCACCUCGGGACUGAGGAUUAACGAGGCAAUGGUUUUAGCAGAAUAAUCCACUGCUGCUAUUAUUAUCAGCAUCUUCGUAUAGCAAAACUCAUUUGGACCAAUGGGGAGUGCGUUAAGUUGGUCUGAAGUAGGGCAAAGGAACGAUUAUAGAAUGUUUCAAAGGAAAUGUGUUUUUUAUUAUUUCCAUGUAUAUAGAGUACUGGAACUGAGUGCUAGGAGGUGGAGAACUGACUUGAUUUAAAUAAGGAGAGCUCAUUUGACAUUGGCCUGUUUGAUUUCUCAACAUCCAACUGUGUUAAUAAAGAGGGUUUUGAGCUAUCUAUGUGCCCAGCUCUGUGACUGGAGAAGGAAAGUCACAUAAGACACAGUCCUUGCCCUCACAGGACGUGCAACCUGUGGGCAGAUGAGUCCUACACAGGAAGCGGGGGCAAGAAGGAAACUGUGAGGCACUGGGGAGCACGGCGCUGCCACAGGUGAGAGGAAACGCGUAGCCUCUGGACCUUGAGUGCCAAGGCUGGGGAAAGCUUCGGGGAAGAUGGACACUGAGGAAGGUCAGGUCAAUUUAAAUAGGGGGUGGGGCAGGGAGAGAGGGGCAAGGCUGCCAUGGGUGAGCAAGGGGCAGAAAGAGCACGGCAUCUAUGAAGGAGCCACAGGGCAGGCUGGCAGGAGGCGGGACUGGGCAGGGAGGUGAGCCAAGGUGUGGGGACCCGGGCAGGCAGCUCGAGGCCAGCUUGGCUUAGCAGGCGAUGCCCAUGGCAGGACCACACUUGGAGAGGGCCAGGGCAGGUGACGGGGUUGCUCUGGGAGGAAUUUGGCAAUGGCAUGCAAAACGGAUUGGAUAUGAAUUUUGGAAUUGAAACAGGGAACAACUCAUUAUUGUUUCCAUAAGGAUCCGAGGGUGAGAUGAUAAGGUCUAAAAUCAUUUUAUCGCUGGUGAGAGUGUGACUGGAAACAGAGGGGCAAACUGAGGCAAUGCCUGGAAGAAACUGGCGGGUCUGUUCCAGGAUGUGGAGGGAGAAGAGCUUAAGGCUCCAUGGCUUGCCACAUUCGGGACUGGAAGAUGGCAAAUUCCAGUGACCGAAGUGCACAGACCAGGUGGUAAUGGGGGCAGCAUUUUACUAAAACGCAAGGCUAUGGGGCCACUGGACACCCAGGACUGGCACUCAAACCUGGCCACGCUGGAGAAGAGAUGGGCCAUUGUCAGGGUGGGGGUUAUGCAUACACCCUGAAAUACCUCCCACCAUCCACGCUCCGGAGAAACCCUCCAUUUACAGGGUGAAGGCAAACUGACUUUAGCCCCGCUCUGGCUCAAUUCAAAUGCCAGGUGCAAGCAGUUCAAUUAACGCGCCUGCCCCGUGCCUUUGACACCAAACAGAUGUCAGAAUAUUACACCAUCCAAGUCAAUGCCUGGCUUUAAUUUAAUCACUCAUGCCUUAAUCGAUUCCUGUCACAUGCUAAACACUGUGAGUGGUGGGGAGAGGCUGCUCCUAGGCAUAAUUAGAAUAUGAGAUUCUGUACCAAGUCCCUGUCUGGUUAGGAAAAAACUGAAAACUCCAGAAAAAACAGAAAAGCUCCCAGGAAAUUCCAUCCAAGGGUCGUGACUUGAGCCCAGAAGGAAGUCCCAGCCCUUCCCCAGAGAAGUCAGCACUGGCAGGGGCUGGAAAUCACUUGAGGUCAUGCUCAAGGCACCCCCACCCACUGUCUUGCACCCUGGUUUGGGGCUCCUUCCUUCCAAAGAAGGGGACAGACAAGAUCAGUGCAGGCUGGGCUGUGGCCACCCAUGCAUCCCUCCUGGGCACGGACCCUGCUGGCUCAGCCCUCACCCCUAGGAACCAGCUGCACCGUCUGACUGACGCUAAGGGAGCCAGGUGGCAGCAGCUAUACUAUUUCAGGUCAGGCUAAAGUCAGCCCACCAAAGACUUCAGAUCAGCACCUGACUGCGGCUCCUGGGAGGCAUCCCCCAGCCCUGCAGCACUUCUGAGAAGCUCAAAGGAAUUCUCUUAAGUUGUUUUAUUUCAGUUCUAUGACUAUGCGAACAGAAGAGAGACCACAUUAUCAUCCAUUCUGAGGGGGAAGACAGUAUAAUCUCCAUUUCUCAGAUGGAAAUAUGGAGGCAUGGGAAAUCUUAAUCUUGGCCAAAAAUCUCUUAGUUGACAAAUGAAUUCAGGGCUUGGCAACCCUAAGCAGCCAGUGAUAACAGGGGCCCACAAAUGAGGGAGUAGCUUGCUUCUGGAAUUCAGUCUUACUGGUAACAAACGAUAAGAUCUUUUUAAAAGUCUUUUUAUUUUUAUUUUUUUUAACUUGGCCCAGAUUGUCAACUUAUGAAUCCUACUGAUUAAAAAUUUUUUCUUGCAUUUCUCAUCAGCCAUCGAACAUUGGUUCAUGAUUAUUUAUAGCACUUAAUGACAUUGAAAGGGAUUUAUUUCAAUUUAUUCAGUCUUUAUUAACACUCCACAGGGAACAGAGUGCAGCCGCCACUGGCCUUUUCUCAGGCACAGUUGAGAUGCUAAGAAGGGAGGAACUUCACCACUAAAGGAAGAACUGAACCCGGUGGAGAGAAGCCCAGGAGGCAAGUUAUCCCUAUAGGAUUAUCCAGGAAAAAUAUUAAAUAGGUUUUAAUAAGGUUCAGGUGAGUUUAUGAAUGAUCACUUCAUUAUUCAAGCGGAUUUAGGGAUGUUCUGCAAAAUCCUCCGUUUCUAAGCUGGCCUCAUGGGGACCAGCAGCAGAGGCAGAGGCUGAGCCGCUGCACUGGGGAUUGGGGCCAGCGUGGAAUUUCCCCUGCUCAUAGGGAAAAGACAAGACAGAAAACGGAUGGUGGGAGGGCUGAUGACUCUUCCAAAUGGCUAUUCCUGAUGUUUCCUGGCAAUGAGCAGCUAUGAAAGGGACAGGUUCACAUGCGACUACACCAUGACUUUUGCUGUGCCCCAGUGUAACAGGAGGUUAUAGACAACAGUUUUAUUUGCAUAUAUAACCUUUGCUUGGCUUAUUAACAUAUUGCUGAUUUAAAUUCUGAUACAUUGUCAAAGUAGAAAGCUGUUCGGGUUUUUGGCAAGCCCAGUAUAAAAAAUGCAGGCAUGCAACAAAUAGGUAGUGAAUAUUCACAUUUAAAUACAUGUAAAUAUAAAUAGAAUUAAAAAAAAAAAGUUUAGAGACAGGGCCUUGCUGUGUUACCCAGGCUGGAGUGCUAUGGGACAAUCAUAGCUCACUGUAGCCUUGAACUCCUGGGCUCAAGCGAUCCUCCUGCUUCGGCCUCCCAAGUAGCUAGGGCUACAGACACAUGCCAUCAUGCCCAGCUAAUUUUUACAGUUUCCUUUUGUAGAGACAGGAUCUUGUUUUGUUGCCCAGGCUAGUCUCAGACUCCUGGCUUCAAGUGAUCCUCCCACAGUGCUGGGAUUACAAGUGUGAGCCACCGAGCCUGGCCU
rnacentral:lncRNA from 1 species